rnacentral:rRNA from 1 species
GCUUAACACAUGCAAGUCGAGCGGUAAGGCCCUUCGGGGUACACGAGCGGCGAACGGGUGAGUAACACGUGGGUGAUCUGCCUCGCACUCUGGGAUAAGCCUGGGAAACUGGGUCUAAUACCGGAUAUGACCAGGGAAUGCAUGUUCUUUGGUGGAAAGGUUUACUGGUGCGAGAUGGGCCCGCGGCCUAUCAGCUUGUUGGUGGGGUAACGGCCUACCAAGGCGACGACGGGUAGCCGACCUGAGAGGGUGACCGGCCACACUGGGACUGAGACACGGCCCAGACUCCUACGGGAGGCAGCAGUGGGGAAUAUUGCACAAUGGGCGAAAGCCUGAUGCAGCGACGCCGCGUGGGGGAUGACGGCCUUCGGGUUGUAAACCCCUUUCGACAGGGACGAAGCGCAAGUGACGGUACCUGUAGAAGAAGCACCGGCCAACUACGUGCCAGCAGCCGCGGUAAUACGUAGGGUGCGAGCGUUGUCCGGAAUUACUGGGCGUAAAGAGCUUGUAGGCGGUUCGUCGCGUCGAUUGUGAAAACUUGGGGCUCAACUCCAAGCUUGCAGUCGAUACGGGCGAACUAGAGUACUUCAGGGGAGACUGGAAUUCCUGGUGUAGCGGUGAAAUGCGCAGAUAUCAGGAGGAACACCGGUGGCGAAGGCGGGUCUCUGGGAAGUAACUGACGCUGAGAAGCGAAAGCGUGGGUAGCGAACAGGAUUAGAUACCCUGGUAGUCCACGCCGUAAACGGUGGGUACUAGGUGUGGGUUUCCUUCCACGGGAUCCGUGCCGUAGCUAACGCAUUAAGUACCCCGCCUGGGGAGUACGGCCGCAAGGCUAAAAGGAAUUGACGGGGGCCCGCACAAGCGGCGGAGCAUGUGGAUUAAUUCGAUGCAACGCGAAGAACCUUACCUGGGUUUGACAUACACCGGAAAGCUGUAGAGAUAUGGCCCCCCUUGUGGUCGGUGUACAGGUGGUGCAUGGCUGUCGUCAGCUCGUGUCGUGAGAUGUUGGGUUAAGUCCCGCAACGAGCGCAACCCUUAUCUUAUGUUGCCAGCGCGUAAUGGCGGGGACUCGUGAGAGACUGCCGGGGUCAACUCGGAGGAAGGUGGGGACGACGUCAAGUCAUCAUGCCCCUUAUGUCCAGGGCUUCACACAUGCUACAAUGGCCGGUACAGAGGGCUGCGAUACCGCGAGGUGGAGCGAAUCCCUUAAAGCCGGUCUCAGUUCGGAUCGGGGUCUGCAACUCGACCCCGUGAAGUUGGAGUCGCUAGUAAUCGCAGAUCAGCAACGCUGCGGUGAAUACGUUCCCGGGCCUUGUACACACCG